rnacentral:rRNA from 1 species
GGGUUGUGAGGUUAAGCGACUAAGCGUACACGGUGGAUGCCCUGGCAGUCAGAGGCGAUGAAGGACGUGCUAAUCUGCGAUAAGCGUCGGUAAGGUGAUAUGAACCGUUAUAACCGGCGAUUUCCGAAUGGGGAAACCCAGUGUGUUUCGACACACUAUCAUUAACUGAAUCCAUAGGUUAAUGAGGCGAACCGGGGGAACUGAAACAUCUAAGUACCCCGAGGAAAAGAAAUCAACCGAGAUUCCCCCAGUAGCGGCGAGCGAACGGGGAGGAGCCCAGAGCCUGAAUCAGUGUGUGUGUUAGUGGAAGCGUCUGGAAAGGCGCGCGAUACAGGGUGACAGCCCCGUACACAAAAAUGCACAUGCUGUGAGCUCGAUGAGUAGGGCGGGACACGUGGUAUCCUGUCUGAAUAUGGGGGGACCAUCCUCCAAGGCUAAAUACUCCUGACUGACCGAUAGUGAACCAGUACCGUGAGGGAAAGGCGAAAAGAACCCCGGCGAGGGGAGUGAAAAAGAACCUGAAACCGUGUACGUACAAGCAGUGGGAGCACAGAGCAAUCUGUGUGACUGCGUACCUUUUGUAUAAUGGGUCAGCGACUUAUAUUCUGUAGCAAGGUUAACCGAAUAGGGGAGCCGAAGGGAAACCGAGUCUUAACUGGGCGUUAAGUUGCAGGGUAUAGACCCGAAACCCGGUGAUCUAGCCAUGGGCAGGUUGAAGGUUGGGUAACACUAACUGGAGGACCGAACCGACUAAUGUUGAAAAAUUAGCGGAUGACUUGUGGCUGGGGGUGAAAGGCCAAUCAAACCGGGAGAUAGCUGGUUCUCCCCGAAAGCUAUUUAGGUAGCGCCUCGUGAAUUCAUCUCCGGGGGUAGAGCACUGUUUCGGCAAGGGGGUCAUCCCGACUUACCAACCCGAUGCAAACUGCGAAUACCGGAGAAUGUUAUCACGGGAGACACACGGCGGGUGCUAACGUCCGUCGUGAAGAGGGAAACAACCCAGACCGCCAGCUAAGGUCCCAAAGUCAUGGUUAAGUGGGAAACGAUGUGGGAAGGCCCAGACAGCCAGGAUGUUGGCUUAGAAGCAGCCAUCAUUUAAAGAAAGCGUAAUAGCUCACUGGUCGAGUCGGCCUGCGCGGAAGAUGUAACGGGGCUAAACCAUGCACCGAAGCUGCGGCAGCGACGCUUAUGCGUUGUUGGGUA